GGGUUGUGAGGUUAAGCGACUAAGCGUACACGGUGGAUGCCCUGGCAGUCAGAGGCGAUGAAGGACGUGCUAAUCUGCGAUAAGCGUCGGUAAGGUGAUAUGAACCGUUAUAACCGGCGAUUUCCGAAUGGGGAAACCCAGUGUGUUUCGACACACUAUCAUUAACUGAAUCCAUAGGUUAAUGAGGCGAACCGGGGAACUGAAACAUCUAAGUACCCCGAGGAAAAGAAAUCAACCGAGAUUCCCCAGUAGCGGCGAGCGAACGGGGAGCAGCCCAGAGCCUGAAUCAGUGUGUGUGUUAGUGGAAGCGUCUGGAAAGGCGCGCGAUACAGGGUGACAGCCCCGUACACAAAAAUGCACAUGCUGUGAGCUCGAUGAGUAGGGCGGGACACGUGGUAUCCUGUCUGAAUAUGGGGGGACCAUCCUCCAAGGCUAAAUACUCCUGACUGACCGAUAGUGAACCAGUACCGUGAGGGAAAGGCGAAAAGAACCCCGGCGAGGGAGUGAAAAAGAACCUGAAACCGUGUACGUACAAGCAGUGGGAGCCUCUUUAUGGGGUGACUGCGUACCUUUUGUAUAAUGGGUCAGCGACUUAUAUUCUGUAGCAAGGUUAACCGAAUAGGGGAGCCGAAGGGAAACCGAGUCUUAACUGGGCGUUAAGUUGCAGGGUAUAGACCCGAAACCCGGUGAUCUAGCCAUGGGCAGGUUGAAGGUUGGGUAACACUAACUGGAGGACCGAACCGACUAAUGUUGAAAAAUUAGCGGAUGACUUGUGGCUGGGGGUGAAAGGCCAAUCAAACCGGGAGAUAGCUGGUUCUCCCCGAAAGCUAUUUAGGUAGCGCCUCGUGAAUUCAUCUCCGGGGGUAGAGCACUGUUUCGGCAAGGGGGUCAUCCCGACUUACCAACCCGAUGCAAACUGCGAAUACCGGAGAAUGUUAUCACGGGAGACACACGGCGGGUGCUAACGUCCGUCGUGAAGAGGGAAACAACCCAGACCGCCAGCUAAGGUCCCAAAGUCAUGGUUAAGUGGGAAACGAUGUGGGAAGGCCCAGACAGCCAGGAUGUUGGCUUAGAAGCAGCCAUCAUUUAAAGAAAGCGUAAUAGCUCACUGGUCGAGUCGGCCUGCGCGGAAGAUGUAACGGGGCUAAACCAUGCACCGAAGCUGCGGCAGCGACGCUUAUGCGUUGUUGGGUAGGGGAGCGUUCUGUAAGCCUGCGAAGGUGUGCUGUGAGGCAUGCUGGAGGUAUCAGAAGUGCGAAUGCUGACAUAAGUAACGAUAAAGCGGGUGAAAAGCCCGCUCGCCGGAAGACCAAGGGUUCCUGUCCAACGUUAAUCGGGGCAGGGUGAGUCGACCCCUAAGGCGAGGCCGAAAGGCGUAGUCGAUGGGAAACAGGUUAAUAUUCCUGUACUUGGUGUUACUGCGAAGGGGGACGGAGAAGGCUAUGUUGGCCGGGCGACGGUUGUCCCGGUUUAAGCGUGUAGGCUGGUUUUCCAGGCAAAUCCGGAAAACUAAGGCUGAGGCGUGAUGACGAGGCACUACGGUGCUGAAGCAACAAAUGCCCUGCUUCCAGGAAAAGCCUCUAAGCAUCAGGUAACAUCAAAUCGUACCCCAAACCGACACAGGUGGUCAGGUAGAGAAUACCAAGGCGCUUGAGAGAACUCGGGUGAAGGAACUAGGCAAAAUGGUGCCGUAACUUCGGGAGAAGGCACGCUGAUAUGUAGGUGAAGCGACUUGCUCGUGGAGCUGAAAUCAGUCGAAGAUACCAGCUGGCUGCAACUGUUUAUUAAAAACACAGCACUGUGCAAACACGAAAGUGGACGUAUACGGUGUGACGCCUGCCCGGUGCCGGAAGGUUAAUUGAUGGGGUUAGCGCAAGCGAAGCUCUUGAUCGAAGCCCCGGUAAACGGCGGCCGUAACUAUAACGGUCCUAAGGUAGCGAAAUUCCUUGUCGGGUAAGUUCCGACCUGCACGAAUGGCGUAAUGAUGGCCAGGCUGUCUCCACCCGAGACUCAGUGAAAUUGAACUCGCUGUGAAGAUGCAGUGUACCCGCGGCAAGACGGAAAGACCCCGUGAACCUUUACUAUAGCUUGACACUGAACAUUGAGCCUUGAUGUGUAGGAUAGGUGGGAGGCUUUGAAGUGUGGACGCCAGUCUGCAUGGAGCCGACCUUGAAAUACCACCCUUUAAUGUUUGAUGUUCUAACGUUGACCCGUAAUCCGGGUUGCGGACAGUGUCUGGUGGGUAGUUUGACUGGGGCGGUCUCCUCCUAAAGAGUAACGGAGGAGCACGAAGGUUGGCUAAUCCUGGUCGGACAUCAGGAGGUUAGUGCAAUGGCAUAAGCCAGCUUGACUGCGAGCGUGACGGCGCGAGCAGGUGCGAAAGCAGGUCAUAGUGAUCCGGUGGUUCUGAAUGGAAGGGCCAUCGCUCAACGGAUAAAAGGUACUCCGGGGAUAACAGGCUGAUACCGCCCAAGAGUUCAUAUCGACGGCGGUGUUUGGCACCUCGAUGUCGGCUCAUCACAUCCUGGGGCUGAAGUAGGUCCCAAGGGUAUGGCUGUUCGCCAUUUAAAGUGGUACGCGAGCUGGGUUUAGAACGUCGUGAGACAGUUCGGUCCCUAUCUGCCGUGGGCGCUGGAGAACUGAGGGGGGCUGCUCCUAGUACGAGAGGACCGGAGUGGACGCAUCACUGGUGUUCGGGUUGUCAUGCCAAUGGCACUGCCCGGUAGCUAAAUGCGGAAGAGAUAAGUGCUGAAAGCAUCUAAGCACGAAACUUGCCCGAGAUGAGUUCUCCCUGACUCCUUGAGAGUCCUGAAGGAACGUUGAAGACGACGACGUUGAUAGGCCGGGUGUGUAAGCGCAGCGAUGCGUUGAGCUAACCGGUACUAAUGAACCGUGAGGCUUAACCUUACAACGCCGAAGGUGUUU
rnacentral:rRNA from 1 species